GACGAACGCUGGCGGCGUGCCUAAUACAUGCAAGUCGACCUUAGUGGCGGACGGGUGAGUAACACGUGGGUAACCUACCCAUCAGAGGGGGAUAACACUUGGAAACAGGUGCUAAUACCGCAUACUGAAGGAUGGUCCCGCGGUGCAUUAGCUAGACGGUGGGGUAACGGCCUACCGUGGCUUUGAUGCAUAGCCGACCUGAGAGGGUGAUCGGCCACAUUGUGACUGAGACACGGCCCAAACUCCUACGGGAGGCAGCAGUAGGGAAUCUGCCGCAAUGGACGCAAGUCUGACGGAGCAACGCCGCGUGUGUGAAGAAGGUCUUCGGAUCGUAAAGCACUGUUAUCAGAGAAGCGGUAACUGAUCAGAAAGCCACGGCUAACUACGUGCCAGCAGCCGCGGUAAUAC
rnacentral:rRNA from 1 species